UACGUAGGGUGCAAGCGUUGUCCGGAAUUAUUGGGCGUAAAGAGCUCGUAAGUGGCCUGUCGCGUCGGCUGUGAAAACUCGGGGCUCAACUCCGAGCUUGCAGUCGAUACGGGCAGGCUAGAGUUCGGCAGGGGAGACUGGAAUUCCUGGUGUAGCGGUGAAAUGCGCAGAUAUCAGGAGGAACACCGGUGGCGAAGGCGGGUCUCUGGGCCGAUACUGACACUGAGGAGCGAAAGCGUGGGGAGCGAACAGG
rnacentral:rRNA from 1 species